rnacentral:rRNA from 1 species
CCUACGGGGGGCUGCAGUGGGGAAUCUUGCACAAUGGGGGAAACCCUGAUGCAGCGACGCCGCGUGAGCGAUGAAGUCCUUCGGGAUGUAAAGCUCUUUCGACAGGAACGAUUAUGACGGUACCUGGAGAAGAAGCUGCGGCUAACUACGUGCCAGCAGCCGCGGUGAUACGUAGGCAGCAAGCGUUGUUCGGAAUUACUGGGCGUAAAGAGUGUGUAGGCGGUUGGGUAAGUUUGGUGUGAAAUCUCCCGGCUUAACUGGGAGGGUGCGCCGAAAACUGCCUGGCUAGAGUGCCGGAGAGGAAAGCGGAAUUCCUGGUGUAGCGGUGAAAUGCGUAGAUAUCAGGAGGAACACCGGUGGUGUAGACGGCUUUCUGGACGGCCACUGACGCUGAGACACGAAAGCGUGGGUAGCAAACAGGAUUAGAUACCCGGGUAGUC